rnacentral:sRNA from 1 species
GUCGUCCGGCACAUGGACGGGCUGACCAUACUGCGGCCGGCCCGGCUACCCUGGCGGCGUGCGUACUCCUCGGGCGGAGCCCGGGGGCGCAAAGCCGACAGCCGUCGCAUUCGAGGGAGCCCAUCCAUG